rnacentral:rRNA from 1 species
ACUCCUACGGGAGGCAGCAGUAGGGAAUCUUCCACAAUGGGCGCAAGCCUGAUGGAGCAACACCGCGUGAGUGAAGAAGGGUUUCGGCUCGUAAAGCUCUGUUGUUAAAGAAGAACACGUAUGAGAGUAACUGUUCAUACGUUGACGGUAUUUAACCAAAAGUCACGGCUAACUACGUGCCAGCAGCCGCGGUAAUACGUAGGUGGCAAGCGUUAUCCGGAUUUAUUGGGCGUAAAGAGAGUGCAGGCGGUUUUCUAAGUCUGAUGUGAAAGCCUUCGGCUUAACCGGAGAAGUGCAUCGGAAACUGGAUAACUUGAGUGCAGAAGAGGGUAGUGGAACUCCACGUGUAGCGGUGGAAUGCGUAGAUAUAUGGAAGAACACCAGUGGCGAAGGCGGCUACCUGGUCUGCAACUGACGCUGAGACUCGAAAGCAUGGGUAGCGAACAGGAUUAGAUACCCUGGUAGGAUAGCG